AUGCCUUUUUGUCAAGGUUCUGAUCUGAUAAGGUCAUCAAUUUGGUUUUAAAAUUUUAUAUCAAAAUGGCAUUAUCCUUCUCUGACUUAUGCUAUCAUGGCCUUAAUUCCUAUCUGACUAUAUUUAGGAUAUUUCAGAUAUUGAAUGCCAGGAGGUUGCUGGCCUUGCAGCCUCUAGGUUAAUUAACUUGUCUGAGCAGAAUGUAUGACAACAUCCUAUUGAUGUCUUGUUUGGCUUUUUUUUGAGUCUUCUAAGGUUUAUGCAGCUCAAUAAUGGUUUUAUAGCUAUUGGCUGUUUUUGAACUCUGUCCCUCCCUCGAUAUAUACUGC